rnacentral:rRNA from 1 species
UAUCAAUAAGCGGAGGAAAAGAAACCAACAGGGAUUGCCCCAGUAACGGCGAGUGAAGCGGCAACAGCUCAAAUUUGAAAUCUGGCCCCUCCCCCCGGGGGGGCCCGAGUUGUAAUUUGCAGAGGAUGCUUCUGGCGAGGUGCCUUCCGAGUUCCCUGGAACGGGACGCCGCAGAGGGUGAGAGCCCCGUCUGGUCGGCCACCGAGCCUCUGUGAAGCUCCUUCGACGAGUCGAGUAGUUUGGGAAUGCUGCUCUAAAUGGGAGGUAUAUGUCUUCUAAAGCUAAAUACCGGCCAGAGACCGAUAGCGCACAAGUAGAGUGAUCGAAAGAUGAAAAGCACUUUGAAAAGAGGGUUAAACAGUACGUGAAAUUGUUGAAAGGGAAGCGCUCAUGACCAGACCUGGUCCCGGCGAAUCACCCGGCGUUCUCGCCGGUGCACUUCGACGGGCUUUCCAGGCCAGCAUCAGUCCGCGCCGGGGGACAAAGGCGGCGGGAACGUGGCUCCCCAGGGAGUGUUAUAGCCCGCCGCGCAAUGCCCCGGGGGCGGACUGAGGACCGCGCGUCACCGCAAGGAUGCUGGCGUAAUGGUCAUCAGCGACCCGUCUUGAAACACGGACCAAGGAGUCGUCCUCGUAUGCGAGUGUUGGGGCGUCAAACCCCCGCGCGUAAUGAAAGUGAACGGCAGGUGAGAGCCCUCGCGGGCGCAUCAUCGACCGAUCCUGAUGUUCUCGGAUGGAUUUGAGUAGGAGCAUACGGGGCCGGACCCGAAAGAAGGUGAACUAUGCCUGUGUAGGGUGAAGCCAGAGGAAACUCUGGUGGAGGCUCGCAGCGGUUCUGACGUGCAAAUCGAUCGUCAAACAUGGGCAUGGGGGCGAAAGACUAAUCGAACCUUCUAGUAGCUGGUUUC